UUAAUAAAAGCCAAAAUAGAGGCAUUUCAUUGUUAAUGAAAAUAUUGAAAGUAUUUUUCUUAUUAAA